GGUUGUGGCUCAGCGGUAGAGUGCUCGCCUAGCAUGUAAGAGGCCCUGGGUUUGAUCCUCAGCACCA
rnacentral:tRNA from 1 species